rnacentral:misc_RNA from 1 species
AACGAGGCCGACCUGCGGCUGAGUUACCUGCGGAGGGAUCAUUAAAAGAUUCUAAAUGGUUCUAGCCCGUAAAAAAGGCUAUGAGCUAUUAUUUUAUUUAACCUGAAAUUUUUUGUCUGAAUAUAUCAAUUUUCGAAUGAAAAUUAAAACUUUCAACAACGGAUCU